AUUGAACGCUGGCGGCAGGCCUAACACAUGCAGGUCGAGCGGAUGAAGGGAGCUUGCUCCUGGAUUCAGCGGCGGACGGGUGAGUAAUGCCUAGGAAUCUGCCUGGUAGUGGGGGAUAACGUCCGGAAACGGGCGCUAAUACCGCAUACGUCCUGAGGGAGAAAGUGGGGGAUCUUCGGACCUCACGCUAUCAGAUGAGCCUAGGUCGGAUUAGCUAGUUGGUGGGGUAAAGGCCUACCAAGGCGACGAUCCGUAACUGGUCUGAGAGGAUGAUCAGUCACACUGGAACUGAGACACGGUCCAGACUCCUACGGGAGGCAGCAGUGGGGAAUAUUGGACAAUGGGCGAAAGCCUGAUCCAGCCAUGCCGCGUGUGUGAAGAAGGUCUUCGGAUUGUAAAGCACUUUAAGUUGGGAGGAAGGGCAGUAAGUUAAUACCUUGCUGUUUUGACGUUACCAGCAGAAUAAGCACCGGCUAACUUCGUG
rnacentral:rRNA from 1 species